rnacentral:rRNA from 1 species
ACGAACUGUGCGAACGUUAUUCGGAAUCACUGGGCUUAAAGGGUGCGUAGGCGGCUGCCUAAGUCAGGUGUGAAAUCUCUCGGCUCAACCGGGAAACUGCGCUUGAUACUGGGCGGCUCGAGUGAGGUAGGGGUGUGUGGAACUUCCGGUGGAGCGGUGAAAUGUGUAGAUAUCGGAAGGAACGCCAGCAGCGAAAGCGGCACACUGGGCCUUUUCUGACGCUGAGGCACGAAAGCCAGGGGAGCGAACGGGAUUAGAUACCCCGGUAGUCCUGGCCGUAAACACUGAACACUCGAGGAGGGGGGCUUCGGCCUUCUUUCUCUUAGCGAAAGCGUUAAGUGUUCCGCCUGGGGAGUAUGGUCGCAAGGCUG